rnacentral:rRNA from 1 species
AUUGUUUCUUCGGAAAUGAAAGAGCGGCGUACGGGUGCGGAACACGUGUGCAACCUGCCUUUAUCUGGGGGAUAGCCUUUCGAAAGGAAGAUUAAUACUCCAUAACAUAUUGAUUGGCAUCAAUUAAUAUUGAAAGCUCCGGCGGAUAGAGAUGGGCACGCGCAAGAUUAGCUAGGUGGUGAGGAAACGGCUCACCAAGGAGAUGAUCUUUAGGGGGCCUGAGAGGGAGAUCCCCCACACUGGUACUGAGACACGGACCACACUCCUACGGGAGGCAGCAGUGAAGAAUAUUGGUCAGUGGGUGCAAGCCUGAACCACCCAUCCCGCGUGAAGGACGACUGCCCUAUGGGUUGAAAACUUCUUUUGUAUAGGGAUAAACCUACCCUCGUGAGGGUAGCUGAAGGUACUAUACGAAUAAGCACCGGCUAACUCCGUGCCAGCAGCCGCGGUAAUACGGAGGGUGCAAGCGCUAUCCGGAUUUAUUGGGUUUAAAGGGUCCGGAGGCGGACUUAUAAGUCAGAGGUGAAAGCCUGUCGCUUAACGAUAGAACUGCCAUUGAUACUGUAAGUCUUGAGUAUAUUUGAGGUAGCUGGAAUAAGUAGUGUAGCGGUGAAAUGCAUAGAUAUUACUUAGAACACCAAUUGCGAAGGCAGGUUACCAAGAUAUAACUGACGCUGAGGGACGAAAGCGUGGGGAGCGAACAGGAUUAGAUACCCUGGUAGUCCACGCCGUAAACGAUGCUAACUCGUUUUUGGGCUUUAGGGUUCAGAGACCAAGCGAAAGUGAUAAGUUAGCCACCUGGGGAGUACGCUCGCAAGAGUGAAACUCAAAGGAAUUGACGGGGGCCCGCACAAGCGGUGGAUUAUGUGGUUUAAUUCGAUGAUACGCGAGGAACCUUACCAAGACUUAAAUGGGAAUUGACAGCUUUAGAAAUAGAGCUUUCUUCGGACAAUUUUCAAGGUGCUGCAUGGUUGUCGUCAGCUCGUGCCGUGAGGUGUUAGGUUAAGUCCUGCAACGAGCGCAACCCCUGUCACUAGUUGCCAUCAUUCAGUUGGGGACUCUAGUGAGACUGCCUACGCAAGUAGAGAGGAAGGUGGGGAUGACGUCAAAUCAUCACGGCCCUUACGUCUUGGGCCACACACGUAAUACAAUGGCCGGUACAGAGGGCAGCUACACAGCGAUGUGAUGCAAAUCUCGAAAGCCGGUCUCAGUUCGGAUUGGAGUCUGCAACUCGACUCUAUGAAGCUGGAAUCGCUAGUAAAUCUCGCAUCACCCAUGGCGCGGUGAAAAAAUUCCCGGGCCU